GCGUGACUGGCGCAAUUUAUAGCGUAUUAGACUUCGAAUCUGGGGUUCGCAGGUUCGAGUCCCGCGUCGCGUA